rnacentral:rRNA from 1 species
AGAGCGAACGCUGGCGGCGUGCCUAACACAUGCAAGUCGAACGUGAAAUGGGGCAACCCAAAGUAAAGUGGCGUACGGGUGAGUAACACGUAGGUAAUCUACCAAACAAUCUGGAAUAACCGACCGAAAGGUUGGCUAAUACUGGAUAGAGCGACGGAAUCCGUAAUUGGGUUUUUCGGGAAAGGGAGCUCGCAAGAGCCUUCGUUGUUUGAUGAGCCUGCGUCUGAUUAGCUAGUUGGCGGGGUAAUGGCCCACCAAGGCGAUGAUCGGUAGCUGGUCUGAGAGGAUGAUCAGCCACAUUGGGACUGAGACACGGCCCAAACUCCUACGGGAGGCAGCAGUGGGGAAUAUUGGACAAUGGGCGCAAGCCUGAUCCAGCCAUGCCGCGUGAGUGAUGACGGCCUUAGGGUUGUAAAGCUCUUUCGCUAGGGACGAUAAUGACGGUACCUAGACAAGAGCCCCGGCUAACUUCGUGCCAGCAGCCGC